rnacentral:rRNA from 1 species
UGGGGAAUUGUUCGCAAUGGGCGAAAGCCUGACGACGCAACGCCGCGUGGAGGAUGAAGAAUUUCGGUUCGUAAACUCCUUUCGACCGAGAUGAAUACUCAUGGACCUAACACGUCCGUGAGCUGACAGUAUCGAGAGAAGAAGCCCCGGCUAACUCUGUGCCAGCAGCCGCGGUAAUACAGGGGGGGCAAGCGUUGUUCGGAAUUACUGGGCGUAAAGGGUUCGUAGGUGGCCACUUAAGUCAGACGUGAAAUCCCUCAGCUUAACUGGGGAACUGCGUCUGAUACUGCGUGGCUUGAGUGCAGGAGAGGGAUGCGGAAUUCCAGGUGUAGCGGUGAAAUGCGUAGAUAUCUGGAGGAACACCGGUGGCGAAGGCGGCAUCCUGGACUGUAACUGACACUGAGGAACGAAAGCCAGGGGAGCAAACGGG